rnacentral:rRNA from 1 species
UACGGGGGGGGCAAGCGUUGUUCGGAAUUACUGGGCGUAAAGGGCGCGUAGGCGGCCUGCUAAGUCGGAUGUGAAAUCCCUCGGCUCAACCGAGGAACUGCAUCCGAUACUGGCGGGCUUGAAUCCGGGAGAGGGAUGUGGAAUUCCAGGUGUAGCGGUGAAAUGCGUAGAUAUCUGGAGGAACACCUGUGGCGAAAGCGGCUCUCUGGACCACAACUGACGCUGAGGCGCGAAAGCUAGGGGAGCAAACAGG